CAGUCGAACGGUGAUAGCAAUAUCAUAGUGGCGCACGGGUGCGUAACACGUAUGCAACCUACCUAUUAUUGGGGGAUAGCCUUUGGAAACGGAGAUUAAUACCGCAUAAUACGAUUGACUGGCAUCGGUUGAUUGUUAAAGCUUAGGCGAUAAUAGAUGGGCAUGCGUCCAAUUAGUUAGUUGGUUAGGUAACGGCUGACCAAGACGAUGAUUGGUAGGGGAUCUGAGAGGAUAAUCCCCCACACUGGCACUGAGAUACGGGCCAGACUCCUACGGGAGGCAGCAGUAGGGAAUAUUGGGCAAUGGGCGGAAGCCUGACCCAGCCAUGCCGCGUGCAGGAAGAAGGCGUUAUGCGUUGUAAACUGCUUUUUUAUAGGAAGAAGGAUCCCUUGCGAGGGAAGGUGACGGUACUAUAAGAAUAAGCACCGGCUAACUCCGUGCCAGCAGCCGCGGUAAUACGGAGGGUGCAAGCGUUGUCCGGAUUUAUUGGGUUUAAAGGGUGCGUAGGCGGUUUAUUAAGUCAGUGGUGAAAGACGGUCGCUCAACGAUUGCUGUGCCAUUGAUACUGGUAGACUUGAGUGAGAUUGAGGUAGCUGGAAUGGAUAGUGUAGUUGGUGAAAUGCAUAGAUAUUAUCCAGAACACCGAUUUGCGAAGCAGGUUACUAAGUCCUAACUGACGCUGAGGCACG
rnacentral:rRNA from 1 species